CUAGUACCGGACAAAACAUUAAUUGAAAAUCAUCUUCGACAUAUGAAGUGCUACACAACUGUUACAAAGUUUUUAGAAAGUAUGAUUUGUCAUAUCGUAUGUAGGACAAGCUUAAUCAGCCACUUAUUUUGAUCGUCUGGUUGUCGUUAUUCAACAGUAUACAAAACUGAUCCCCCGAAACAGAAUAUUGAAGAACGCUCAUUACCAUUUGCCGCAAAUUCUCUCAUGUUUUGUUCCAAUAUUUAAUUCUACGAUACAAGCCUCAGCCUUUCUCCUUGUUUUUCAUUAUCCACAGACGUAUUGGACAUGAACUAUGUACCUUUUUUUUAUUUCUGUAUUACAGGUUGCUCUUCCCCUUUUUGACAAAGAAAUGUAUCUUCUUUCAGAGGUCUGCAUUUAUCAGAUAUAGAUGUACACAUGCUAUAGCAAUCAUUGGAAAAAUUCUAAUAAAAUUCAAUCAGAUUGAGAAAAAAUUAUACUAUAAAUGAAAUUGUUUCUAAUGUAGUGUUACUAAAGAGCAUACUGCAAAUAUAUAUAAUUUUAUAUGGUAUACGGGUCUGGAUUGGGGAUCCUUCAUUUCUGUAAUUUCUUUAAUUCUUUAGGUAAUUUUUCUCUAUUUUUUUCUUACAUUUUUUUUACCCUGUUAUUUUCUUUUCCUUAUUUUGUGGCCGACUUUUCUCUUUUCUUUAUUGUUUUGGCCCAUUUUUUUCUGCAAUAUUGACCCUUAUUCUCUAUUCUGUAAAUCCCAUCCAGAUACUCUAGUACAUGUAGCAUACAUGUCAUGUGUUUUUCAGAAAACAGAUCACAUACGUACAAUUAAUAUUAUUCCAAUUGUAACCCCGUGGUACGAUAAAUUCAAAUCUUUGAAAUAAAACAAACCAAGUUAUAAACAAAACAAUAAUUACAUGAAAACAUCUACACACAACAAACCGAGCACAACAAUUUAUCGGAGUCAUGCACUCAAUGAUAAACGUCAAGGUUGUGGAUAAUGUUAACAAUGGUUAAUGCUGUACAUUUUUAUAGAUCUGUAUUUGGAAAUUGGAAAGUUUGUUAAAAAUUAAGUGAGUUCCGAUAUGACUGAUGAAGAUUGUACAGCAGAAUAGAAAUGAUUGAUCAUUUGGGAUUAUCUCUUGUCCUUGAAAUAUAUUUAAACAAGUGCAGAGAUAUUUUUGCCAGAGCUUUUGUUCUUUUGCAUGAAUGUUCAGAAAGACGAAAUAUAUAUAUAUGAAAAAAGAAAAAUUUGAGAUAUUCAGCGAAAAUUCUAUGUAAAUCAGAACUACGGAGUAUGUGCUCAUGAUCAAGGGUGGAUGUACGUCCUUGAUAAAAGAAAGAUGCUGUCCAUAUGAAUGCAUUGGCUCGAUUUCUAUGUUCCUUUAUACAAAACACUUCACAGAUAGAAACUGGACAUGCAGAAAGUACUAAGGGGGUCAUUAAGGAUCUCGACAUUAAUACAUUGUUUGCGAACGUUGUGCACUUAGUAUACGGUAAUAUUUAUGAUUUUCCCGAUUAUUGUCAAUAUUUGAAGAUUAUAAAGGUUGCAGUAACCUAUCUUCGGAUAGUUGAGAACCCGAACUGAUAUGGUAUAGGAAAUAUAAUAUUUAAAUAACCUUUAUCUUACUGAUAUACGAACAGGAAGAUACUGGACCAACUAGGGGAUUGAUUGGUUGAUAAUUGGUUGUUUUUCGUCCAGCAGCAACAAAUUUCAGGAAGGGCUUACAAAUAAACGCCUUCUUUUACUGUUUUUUUUUUGUUAAAGCACUAACUAGAAAUGUCUUAAUUUACAAAGUAUUCGUGAAAUGAUUUUUGCUAUUUAAUGGUUUUUAAUCAGUGUGAAAACUCAUCAAAGAUACAUGGCGUACAUGUUUUUACUCAAGACGCGCGGUUCGUCUACACAAGACUCUACAGUUGCACCCGAAUGAGAAUAAUUUGAAGGCAAAGUCAAACGCAAAGUUGAAUUGCAUUUAAAACCAAAAAAAAAAAAACAACGAAAAGAGUUUCUAAAUACGACAAAGGCACUCGGGGGAUUGAAAACCUUAGUACAUUUCUGUUAUUCGAAUAAUGUUAAACUUUAUAAACAGAUAAUUUACAGAAAAUGAACAUUUCAAUGAUAAGUUGUCAACUCCAAAUUCCUGACUAUUGGGCUGGUGAUAAAACCCAUCAAAGAUAUCAGGCGUACAAUUACUAUUUUGUAGGCACAUCCUUUUCGUGUUUUUAAUUUAUCUAAAUUUGGUUAUGUUAUGGGAUACUAUAUUAAAUAAAAUGAACGAGAUAAUUUAUGAAAAAAAAUGUGUUGUAGACAUGGCACAGCCAGCGGAUAUGAUGGUUAUUUCAGUCCGUGCAGACUUAUCAAGAGCUGAUUAAUAAGAACAACGUUUUGUUUUAAAAGAGUAUGGCAACUGACCUGACAUCACGCGAUAUAUGGAACAUUAUGCUUUUUUUAAAUUAGAUAUCAAUAAUUCAAUUAGUUUUUAUUGUAAACAUAUUUGUAUAGACCGGUUAAAGUACCGGAUCUGGCUCCUUUUAAGAUAAAUCUGAUUUUACCUGAAUUAUGAUAGUGUUAACAAAUUUCCAAUUAAAAACUUGCUACACACUAUGUGUGUUUAGUUUCAAUGUAUUUAAAUGUAACUUAUGUGAUCAAGCCCAUGUAACUUCAUUUUGUCUGGUUCGAAAGAAUAAAAAAGCAUGAAAUACGAAUGGAUGAUACAAAAACUUACCCAAGGAAAAACAACAAAUAAUUGGCAAGAGAACAGAAAAAAAAAGGAAAUAAAUGAUAGCUCACACAAAAAUAUACAGAAAAUAUAAAAAAGUGUUAUAGGUUUCAUAAUGGGUAAAAAUGUGAAAUAAACU